rnacentral:rRNA from 1 species
GGGCUGGCCGGGCGGUCCACCGUUUCGGUGCUGUACUGCCUCUUAGGUUGGCCCUUUGCCUCCUGCGCAACACCGGUUGUCGCUCUCGGGCGGCAGCCGGCGUAGCCAGGUCGUUUACCUUGAAAAAAUUAGAGUGUUCAAAGCAGGCUCACGCUUGAAUAGAUUAGCAUGGAAUAAUAGAAUAGGACUUGCGGUCCUUUUUUGUUGGUUUUAUGGACCACAGUA